GAAGGAAGGCACUACUAGCAAGCCUGAUUGUGCCACUGUUUCUUCUGGCCUCUGUGUUCUAUGCCUGAGAGUACUGAGAUAAUGAAAAGACCGAAAUACUGCAGCAGUGACAGCAGUUAUGAUAGUAGCAGCAGCUCUUCAGAAUCUGACGAAAAUGAAAAAGAAGAGUACCAAAA
rnacentral:sRNA from 1 species